AUUGAACGCUGGCGGCAGGCCUAACACAUGCAAGUCGAGCGAGCGGCGGACGGGUGAGUAAUGUCUGGGAAACUGCCUGAUGGAGGGGGAUAACUACUGGAAACGGUAGCUAAUACCGCAUACCAUCAGAUGUGCCCAGAUGGGAUUAGCUAGUAGGUGGGGUAACGGCUAACCUAGGCGACGAUACCUAGCUGGUCUGGGAGGAUGACCAGCCACACUGGAACGUAGACACGGUCCAGACUCCUACGGGAGGCAGCAGUGGGGAAUAUUGCACAAUGGGCGCAAUGCUGAUGCAGCCAUGCCGCGUGUGUGAAGAAGGCCUUCGGGUUGUAAAGCACUUUCAGCGGGGAGGCGUUACCAACAGAAUAAGCACCGGCUAACUUCGUGCCAGCAGCCGCGGUAAUUC
rnacentral:rRNA from 1 species